UCAGUAACACGUAGUCAACAUGCCCAGGGGACAUGGAUAACCUCGGGAAACUGAGGAUAAACCGCGAUAGGUCAUAAUAUCUGGAAUGAUUUAUGGCUCAAAUCUACAUGGCCCCUGGAUUGGACUGCGGCCGAUCAGGCUGUUGGUGAGGUAAUGGCCCACCAAACCUAAAACCGGUACGGGCUCUGAGAGGAGAAGCCCGGAGAUGGGCACUGAGACAAGGGCCCAGGCCCUAUGGGGCGCAGCAGGCGCGAAAACUCUGCAAUAAGCGAAAGCUUGACAGGGUUAUUCUGAGUGAUUUCCGCUAAGGAAAUCUUUUGGCACCUCUAAAAAUGGUGCAGAAUAAGGGGUGGGCAAGCCUGGU
rnacentral:rRNA from 1 species